rnacentral:lncRNA from 1 species
GCAAGGGCUAAAGGUCAGAAUUGGCCUGAUGUGGUGCCAGCACCGCACACCCACGUGACACACUCAGUUCUAUCCCUUCUCUCAUGGGGGGAAAGGAUUAUGUGUCCUGGUCCAUAUAGGAGCUGGCUAACCCUCAGAGAGCCCAUAUGCUCCUUUCAUUCCCAGUGGGACCACCAAGGCCAAUAGGUAAAUAAUACUGGAUUUAUAUUUAAAAUUCGUAGAAUUUUUAAUUCCUACUCUGGCUAAUUCAGUGAUUAGAAAAUUGAUAACUUUUAGAAGUUAGUCUUCUAACUAAAAUUAUAUGCCAGGUGCCAGGGAUUUUGAUAGCAGUGAACCAGACAAACAUAGUCCCUGUCCAGAGGCAGAUUUCCCCUGAAGCAGAAGGAAUGUGAAUUUGAGAUCCCUAUCUAGCACAGCCCCUGCUGAGGCCCUGAGAGAUGCUUCAAGAAUGUGAUCACGUGGUUAUAUGCUCUUUGGUAAAAUUUGCAGAGGAAACUAUUUUUGUGUUAUGAUUUAUAAAAGAACACCUCCCGCCCCACACUUUGGAAGCCAUGGGCACCACAAAAUCUGUAUCUGCCCAUUUCACUGUCCUCCUAGAGCUCAGAGUACAGCGAAUAGAGGGACACUUGACAACAGUGAUUCAUAAGCAGACCUACACCGAGGAGAAG